UACAGAGGGUGCGAGCGUUGUCCGGAAUCACUGGGCGUAAAGGGCGCGUAGGUGGUGGCUUAAGCGUGCGGUGAAAGUCGGGGGCUCAACCCCUGAUCGGCCGUGCGAACUGGGGGGCUGGAGCACUGUAGAGGCAGGCGGAAUUCCGGGUGUAGCGGUGGAAUGCGUAGAGAUCCGGAAGAACACCGGUGGCGAAGGCGGCCUGCUGGGCAGUUUUGCUGGACACUGAGGCGCGACAGCGUGGGGAGCA
rnacentral:rRNA from 1 species